AAUGUGUCUCUAUGGGUCCCAAUGGGUCUCCAUGGGUCCCAAUGUGUCUCUAUGGGUCCCAAUGGGUCUCCAUGGGUCCCAAUGGGUCUCUAUGGGUCCCAAUGGGUCUCCAUGGGUCCCAAUGGGUCUCUAUGGGUCCCAACGUGUCUCUAUGGGUCUCAACGUGUCUCUAUGGGUCCCAAUGUGUCUCUAUGGGUCCCAACGUGUCUCUAUGGGUCUCAACGUGUCUCCACGUGUCUCUAUGGGCCCGAGCAGCCGGCCGCGUUCUGAUGUGUGCUUGGGCACGGCGAGGCUCACGGCAGUGCCAGGGCCACAGAGGAACCUACAGCUC